AGAGUUUGAUCCUGGCUCAGGAUGAACGCUAGCGAUAGGCCUAACACAUGCAAGUCGAGGGGCAGCACAUGAGGUAGCAAUACUGAUGGUGGCGACCGGCGCACGGGUGAGUAACGCGUAUGCAACCUGCCUACAACAGGGGAAUAACCCGUUGAAAGACGGACUAAUACCCCAUAAUACAGGGAUCCCGCAUGGGAAUAUUUGUUAAAGAUUUAUCGGUUGUAGAUGGGCAUGCGUUCCAUUAGCUGGUUGGUGAGGUAACGGCUCACCAAGGCAACGAUGGAUAGGGGAACUGAGAGGUUUAUCCCCCACACUGGUACUGAGACACGGACCAGACUCCUACGGGAGGCAGCAGUGAGGAAUAUUGGUCAAUGGACGCAAGUCUGAACCAGCCACGUCGCGUGAAGGAAGACGGCCCUACGGGUUGUAAACUUCUUUUGUAAGGGAAUAAAGUGGGCCACGUGUGGCUUUUUGCAUGUACCUUACGAAUAAGGAUCGGCUAACUCCGUGCCAGCAGCCGCGGUAAUACGGAGGAUCCGAGCGUUAUCCGGAUUUAUUGGGUUUAAAGGGUGCGCAGGCGGGAGAUUAAGUCGGCGGUGAAAUUUUGCAGCUCAACUGUAAAAGUGCCUUCGAAACUGGUUUCCUUGAGUGUAGAUGAAGUAGGCGGAAUUUGUGGUGUAGCGGUGAAAUGCAUAGAUAUCACGAGGAACUCCGAUUGCGCAGGCAGCUUACUAAACUACUACUGACGCUCAGGCACGAAGGCGUGGGGAUCAAACAGGAUUAGAUACCCUGGUAGUCCACGCAGUAAACGAUGAUUACUAGCUGUUUGCGAUACAAUGUAAGCGGCUGAGCGAAAGCGUUAAGUAAUCCACCUGGGGAGUACGUUCGCAAGAAUGAAACUCAAAGGAAUUGACGG
rnacentral:rRNA from 1 species